CAACCUGCCCAUCACUUGGGGAUAACCUUGCGAAAGUAAGACUAAUACCCAAUGAUAUCUCUAGAAGACAUCUGAAGGAAAUUAAAGAUUUAUCGGUGAUGGAUGGGGAUGCGUCUGAUUAGCUUGUUGGCGGGGUAACGGCCCACCAAGGCGACGAUCAGUAGGGGUUCUGAGAGGAAGGUCCCCCACAUUGGAACUGAGACACGGUCCAAACUCCUACGGGAGGCAGCAGUGAGGAAUAUUGGUCAAUGGACGAGAGUCUGAACCAGCCAAGUAGCGUGCAGGAUGACGGCCCUAUGGGUUGUAAACUGCUUUUAUAAGGGAAUAAAGUGAGUCUCGUGAGACUUUUUGCAUGUACCUUAUGAAUAAGGACCGGCUAAUUCCGUGCCAGCAGCCGCGGUAAUACGGAAGGUCCGGGCGUUAUCCGGAUUUAUUGGGUUUAAAGGGAGCGUAGGCCGGAGAUUAAGCGUGUUGUGAAAUGUAGACGCUCAACGUCUGCACUGCAGCGCGAACUGGUUUCCUUGAGUACGCACAAAGUGGGCGGAAUUCGUGGUGUAGCGGUGAAAUGCUUAGAUAUCACGAAGAACUCCGAUUG
rnacentral:rRNA from 1 species